GUGAACAAUGUUGGUCAGGCAAUAUCCAGGGCCAUAUACUAUCUGGAUGCUGAUCACACUGACAAGUAUAUAAAGGACAUGGUGCACUGCAACAUGCUUUCGAACAUAAAGAUGACACAGAUCGUCCUUCCUCAGAUGGUGGCCAGGAAGAAAGGAAUUAUCAUAAACAUGUCAUCGAUGAGUGGCCGGCGUCCAAUGGCAAAACUAUUGAUGUAUUCCUCAA